GGUGAAGAACGUAGUGAACUGCGAUAAGUAAUGUGAAUUGCAGAAUUCAGUGAAUCAUCGAGUCUUUGAACGCACAUUGCGCCCCCUGGCAUUCCGGGGGGCAUGCCUGUCCGAGCGUCAUUGCUGCCCUUCAAGCCCGGCUUGUGUGUUGGGUCGUCGUCCCCCCCGGGGGACGGGCCCGAAAGGCAGCGGCGGCACCGCGUCCGGUCCUCGAGCGUAUGGGGCUUUGUCACCCGCUCGAUUAGGGCCGGCCGGGCGCCAGCCGGCGUCUCCAACCUUCUAUUUUACCAGGUUGACCUCGGAUCAGGUAGGGAUACCCGCUGAACUUAAGCAUAUCAAUAAGCGGAGGA
rnacentral:misc_RNA from 1 species